rnacentral:rRNA from 1 species
UUUCGCUCUUCAACGAGGAAUCCCUAGUAAGCACAAGUCAUCAGCUUGUGCUGAUUACGUCCCUGCCCUUUGUACACACCGCCCGUCGCUACUACCGAUUGAAUGGCUUAGUGAGGCCCUCGGAUCGAUGCUCGGAGACUGGCAACAGUUUCCGUUCGUUGAGAAGUUGGUCAAACUUGGUCAUUUAGAGGAAGUAAAAGUCGUAACAAGGUUUCCGUAGGUGAACCUGCGGAAGGAUCAUUAUUAUUUAGGUGGGGGUUUGCUGCUCAUAACUGUUGCUCUUGUGGUGUCUCGAAUUUAUAAGUAGUAAACUCUUACCUGAAUAAAAUUCCUAUUUCGAAAUAGGAGCGAGAUAAACUUAUAUUUAAAACCCGACCUUAAAAUAUUUUUGUUCGUAUUUUGAAUGAUAAAAUUAAAGAUCACUUUCAACAACGGAUCUCUUGGCUCUCGCAUCGAUGAAGAACGUAGCGAAGUGCGAUAAGUAAUGUGAAUUGCAGAAUUCCGUGAAUCAUCGAAUCUUUGAACGCAUAUUGCACUUUCUGGUAUUCCGGAAAGUAUGCCUGUUUGAGGGUCAGUUAAAUAAAAAUCGGCGUUGUUGCUACCUCUCGUGGUGACGCGUCGGAGCUGAGUCGUCUUAUCUUCGGCUAAGUGACUUAAAAUUUUGCAUGAUUUUUCGAACGUAUUUAAAUUUGCUUACGUACGUUUGAGAUAUCGAAAUGUUUUAUUAGGUUCGGUUAUCCUCAUGACUCGCGCCUAUAAUUUUUUCAUUAAAUGACCUCAAAUCAGGUAAGAAAUACCCGCUGAACUUUAAGCAUAUCAAUAAGCGGAGGGAAAAGAAAAAUAACAAUGAUUCCCUUAGUAACGGCGAGUGAAGAGGGGAAAAGCUCAAAUUUUAAAUCUGCUAGGUUUUACUUAUCAGAAUUGUAAUUUGAAGAAGCGUUUUCCGCGUCUCGGUUGACCCAAAUCCUUUGGGAUGUGGUAUCAUGGAGGGUGAGAAUCCCGUUCGGUUGACCUUAUGACGUUCUACGAUACGCUUUCUAAGAGUCGAGUUGUUUGGGAUUGCAGCUCAAAAUGGGAGGUAAAUUUCUCCUAAGGCUAAAUAUCGGCGAGAGACCGAUAGCGAACAAGUACCGUGAGGGAAAGAUGAAAAGAACUUUGAAAAGAGAGUAAAAUAGUACGUGAAAUUGUUGAAAGGGAAACGAUUGAAGUCAGUCGUACCGACAAGAAAUCAACUUAUCGUGUGCGAACUUGUGGGCGUGCGUGAGUUUCGGCCUCGCUGUUUGCAUGUUUGUGCGUUUUGGGUGUACUUUUUCGUAUGAUAGGCCAACAUCAGUUUCGAUUACUAUAAAAUGACCGGCGGAAUGUAGCUUCGAUUUCGGUUGAAGUGUUAUAGCCUCUGGUAGAUGUGGUGAUUGGGACUGAGGAUUGCAACGAAUAUCCUUUGGGCUAUCCGUCUGAUCUCUGAAAGUUGCUCAGGUGCCGAAAGCGUGCUUACGGUCAUCUAAGUUGACGGUCAAUAGGUUAGAACGUGAUUACAUUCGUUAAGGAUGUUGGCGUAAUGGCUUUAAACGACCCGUCUUGAAACACGGACCAAGGAGUCUAACAUAUGUGCGAGUGUUU